CAGCUAGUUGGCAGGGUAAAAGCCUACCAAGGCAAUGAUCGGUAGCCGGCCUGAGAGGGCACACGGCCACACUGGCACUGAAACACGGGCCAGACUCCUACGGGAGGCAGCAGUGGGGAAUCUUGCACAAUGGGGGCAACCCUGAUGCAGCGACGCCGCGUGAGCGAUGAAGCCCUUCGGGGUGUAAAGCUCUUUCGGCAGGAACGAUAAUGACGGUACCUGAAGAAGAAGCUGCGGCUAACUACGUGCCAGCAGCCGCGGUAAUACGUAGGCAGCAAGCGUUGUUCGGAGUUACUGGGCGUAAAGAGUGUGUAGGCGGUUCUCUAAGUUCGGUGUGAAAUCUCCCGGCUCAACCGGGAGGGUGCGCCGAAAACUGGAGGGCUAGAGUAUGGGAGAGGAAAGCGGAAUUCCUGGUGUAGCGGUGAAAUGCGUAGAUAUCAGGAGGAACACCUGCGGUGUAGACGGCUUUCUGGACCAUCACUGACGCUGAGACACGAAAGCGUGGGUAGCAAACAGGAUUAGAUACCCUGGUAGUCCACGCCCUAAACGAUGCAUACUUGGUGUGAGCGAUUCAUUUCU
rnacentral:rRNA from 1 species